rnacentral:lncRNA from 1 species
AUGGCAUUGAGGAAAGGCAUGGAUGCACCCUUAAGACAGGAAUCAGCAAACUAUGACCCACAGGCCACAUAUAUUUCCACACCAGUGCUGAAUGGGGACAAUCACCCACUGACGCAGCAGCCUUUUCAUGGGAGUCAGACCAAGGAAGGAAUCUCAGCACAUCUGGAGGAAAGUCCACCUCCUCUCCUCGCUGCGCCCUUCCAGGGUGUCGAACCAGGCUCCACAGUUUGCUUUCGUGGUGAAAAGAAGGCAGAUCUGUCAGUGACUCCUCAACAAGCUGAGAAGGGAAUUACACAUACCCUUUCAAACAAGUUAUAUGGUGUUUAUAAUGUUGUUUGGGUGAGUUUGUAUGACUCGUGAAACCCUAAACGUUUGUUUUUUUCUAAAGGAAGGAGUUAGAUCCAGUGACUGAAAUGAAUCAUGCCACUGUGUGUGUGUGUGUGUGUGUGUGUGCGCAUGUGUGGGUGUGGGGGAAAUGUGUCUGAUUGCUGUAAUCUUCCUUUCAGUAAUGGACUGAUUUCCACAUCCAGGCAGGAGCACUCAAUCAAUCGAUACUCUUGACCGCUGUCACAAUUGUCAUGUUUUAAGACAUUUCUUCUUUAUUUGUACUCUUGAGUAUCUCUUCUGUGUUUGAUAACCUCUUUCUCUGGGUCAUAAAGGACCACUUCUAGUUCCCUGAAAUCACUUAUUUUGUUCCUAUUUUCAUGACAGUGCAGGUGUGAACUCUUCCUGAAUUUGCCUAAGUAACAGAUUGGGAGGCAGAUUACCUGUAGAGUCAAAAUUUGUUACUUGUGAAGCACUAAGAAAGAAGCUGAGCCUGGAAAGGGGGCAUGGGACGGGCGUCUGUGGGAGCUGGUCAUGUUCUGUCUCUUGAUGAGGAAGCUGACUACACAGAGACAUUCAGUUUGGGAAAAAUUCAUCAAGCUGCACACUUAUUGCACUGUUCUGUGUGUGUGUUGCAUUUCAAUAUAUUUUUUCUUUUUAAAUAAAAGUCCUUGAAGUCACCA